rnacentral:rRNA from 1 species
UUAAGCGACUAAGCGUACACGGUGGAUGCCCUGGCAGUCAGAGGCGAUGAAGGACGUGCUAAUCUGCGAUAAGCGUCGGUAAGGUGAUAUGAACCGUUAUAACCGGCGAUUUCCGAAUGGGGAAACCCAGUGUGAUUCGUCACACUAUCAUUAACUGAAUCCAUAGGUUAAUGAGGCGAACCGGGGGAACUGAAACAUCUAAGUACCCCGAGGAAAAGAAAUCAACCGAGAUUCCCCCAGUAGCGGCGAGCGAACGGGGAGCAGCCCAGAGCCUGAAUCAGUGUGUGUGUUAGUGGAAGCGUCUGGAAAGGCGCGCGAUACAGGGUGACAGCCCCGUACACAAAAAUGCACAUGCUGUGAGCUCGAUGAGUAGGGCGGGACACGUGGUAUCCUGUCUGAAUAUGGGGGGACCAUCCUCCAAGGCUAAAUACUCCUGACUGACCGAUAGUGAACCAGUACCGUGAGGGAAAGGCGAAAAGAACCCCGGCGAGGGGAUGAAAAAGAACCUGAAACCGUGUACGUACAAGCAGUGGGAGCACGCUUAGGCGUGUGACUGCGUACCUUUUGUAUAAUGGGUCAGCGACUUAUAUUCUGUAGCAGGGUUAACCGAAUAGGGGAGCCGAAGGGAACCGAGUCUUAACUGGGCGUUAAGUUGCAGGGUAUAGACCCGAAACCCGGUGAUCUAGCCAUGGGCAGGUUGAAGGUUGGGUAACACUAACUGGAGGACCGAACCGACUAAUGUUGAAAAAUUAGCGGAUGACUUGUGGCUGGGGGUGAAAGGCCAAUCAAACCGGGAGAUAGCUGGUUCUCCCCGAAAGCUAUUUAGGUAGCGCCUCGUGAAUUCAUCUCCGGGGGUAGAGCACUGUUUCGGCAAGGGGGUCAUCCCGACUUACCAACCCGAUGCAAACUGCGAAUACCGGAGAAUGUUAUCACGGGAGACACACGGCGGGUGCUAACGUCCGUCGUGAAGAGGGAAACAACCCAGACCGCCAGCUAAGGUCCCAAAGUCAUGGUUAAGUGGGAAACGAUGUGGGAAGGCCCAGACAGCCAGGAUGUUGGCUUAGAAGCAGCCAUCAUUUAAAGAAAGCGUAAUAGCUCACUGGUCGAGUCGGCCUGCGCGGAAGAUGUAACGGGGCUAAACCAUGCACCGAAGCUGCGGCAGCGACGCUUAUGCGUUGUUGGGUAGGGGAGCGUUCUGUAAGCCUGCGAAGGUGUGCUGUGAGGCAUGCUGGAGGUAUCAGAAGUGCGAAUGCUGACAUAAGUAACGAUAAAGCGGGUGAAAAGCCCGCUCGCCGGAAGACCAAGGGUUCCUGUCCAACGUUAAUCGGGGCAGGGUGAGUCGACCCCUAAGGCGAGGCCGAAAGGCGUAGUCGAUGGGAAACAGGUUAAUAUUCCUGUACUUGGUGUUACUGCGAAGGGGGGACGGAGAAGGCUAUGUUGGCCGGGCGACGGUUGUCCCGGUUUAAGCGUGUAGGCUGGUUUUCCAGGCAAAUCCGGAAAAUCAAGGCUGAGGCGUGAUGACGAGGCACUACGGUGCUGAAGCAACAAAUGCCCUGCUUCCAGGAAAAGCCUCUAAGCAUCAGGUAACAUCAAAUCGUACCCCAAACCGACACAGGUGGUCAGGUAGAGAAUACCAAGGCGCUUGAGAGAACUCGGGUGAAGGAACUAGGCAAAAUGGUGCCGUAACUUCGGGAGAAGGCACGCUGAUAUGUAGGUGAAGUCCCUCGCGGAUGGAGCUGAAAUCAGUCGAAGAUACCAGCUGGCUGCAACUGUUUAUUAAAAACACAGCACUGUGCAAACACGAAAGUGGACGUAUACGGUGUGACGCCUGCCCGGUGCCGGAAGGUUAAUUGAUGGGGUUAGCGCAAGCGAAGCUCUUGAUCGAAGCCCCGGUAAACGGCGGCCGUAACUAUAACGGUCCUAAGGUAGCGAAAUUCCUUGUCGGGUAAGUUCCGACCUGCACGAAUGGCGUAAUGAUGGCCAGGCUGUCUCCACCCGAGACUCAGUGAAAUUGAACUCGCUGUGAAGAUGCAGUGUACCCGCGGCAAGACGGAAAGACCCCGUGAACCUUUACUAUAGCUUGACACUGAACAUUGAGCCUUGAUGUGUAGGAUAGGUGGGAGGCUUUGAAGUGUGGACGCCAGUCUGCAUGGAGCCGACCUUGAAAUACCACCCUUUAAUGUUUGAUGUUCUAACGUUGACCCGUAAUCCGGGUUGCGGACAGUGUCUGGUGGGUAGUUUGACUGGGGCGGUCUCCUCCUAAAGAGUAACGGAGGAGCACGAAGGUUGGCUAAUCCUGGUCGGACAUCAGGAGGUUAGUGCAAUGGCAUAAGCCAGCUUGACUGCGAGCGUGACGGCGCGAGCAGGUGCGAAAGCAGGUCAUAGUGAUCCGGUGGUUCUGAAUGGAAGGGCCAUCGCUCAACGGAUAAAAGGUACUCCGGGGAUAACAGGCUGAUACCGCCCAGAGUUCAUAUCGACGGCGGUGUUUGGCACCUCGAUGUCGGCUCAUCACAUCCUGGGGCUGAAGUAGGUCCCAAGGGUAUGGCUGUUCGCCAUUUAAAGUGGUACGCGAGCUGGGUUUAGAACGUCGUGAGACAGUUCGGUCCCUAUCUGCCGUGGGCGCUGGAGAACUGAGGGGGGCUGCUCCUAGUACGAGAGGACCGGAGUGGACGCAUCACUGGUGUUCGGGUUGUCAUGCCAAUGGCACUGCCCGGUAGCUAAAUGCGGAAGAGAUAAGUGCUGAAAGCAUCUAAGCACGAAACUUGCCCCGAGAUGAGUUCUCCCUGACUCCUUGAGAGUCCUGAAGGAACGUUGAAGACGACGACGUUGAUAGGCCGGGUGUGUAAGCGCAGCGAUGCGUUGAGCUAACCGGUACUAAUGAACCGUGAGGCUUAACCUU